rnacentral:rRNA from 1 species
UGGGGAAUAUUGCACAAUGGAGGGAACUCUGAUGCAGCGACGCCGCGUGAACGAAGAAGGCUUUCGAGUCGUAAAGUUCUUUUAUAUGGGAAGAUAAUGACGUUACCAUAAGAAAAAGCCCCGGCUAACUACGUGCCAGCAGCCGCGGUAAUACGUAGGGGGCUAGCGUUGUCCGGAAUCACUGGGCGUAAAGGGUUCGCAGGCGGAAAUGCAAGUCAGGUGUAAAAGGCAGUAGCUUAACUACUGUAAGCAUUUGAAACUGCAUAUCUUGAGAAGAGUAGAGGUAAGUGGAAUUUUUAGUGUAGCGGUGAAAUGCGUAGAUAUUAAAAAGAAUACCGGUGGCGAAGGCGGCUUACUGGGCUCAUUCUGACGCUGAGGAACGAAAGCGUGGGUAGCAAACAGG